UACGGAGGGGGCGAGCGUUGUCCGAAGUUACUGGGCGUAAAGCGCGCGUAGGCGGGUUGGUAAGUCCGCUGUGAAAGCCCGGAGCUCAACUCCGGAGGGUCGGUGGAUACUGCCAGUCUUGAAGGUGCUAGGGGGAGAUGGAAUUACCGGUGUAGCGGUGAAAUGCGUAGAGAUCGGUAGGAACACCAGUGGCGAAGGCGGUCUCCUGGGGCAUUCUUGACGCUGAUGCGCGAAAGCUGGGGGAGCGAACAGG
rnacentral:rRNA from 1 species